AGAGUUUGAUCCUGGCUCAGGAUGAACGCUGGCGGCGUGCUUAACACAUGCAAGUCGAACGAAGCGCUUUAACCUGAUUCUUCGGAUGAAGGUUUUUGUGACUGAGUGGCGGACGGGUGAGUAACGCGUGGGUAACCUGCCUCGUACAGGGGGAUAACAGUUAGAAAUGACUGCUAAUACCGCAUAAGACCACGGAGCCGCAUGGCUCAGUGGGAAAAACUCCGGUGGUAUGAGAUGGACCCGCGUCUGAUUAGGUAGUUGGUGGGGUAACGGCCUACCAAGCCGACGAUCAGCAGCCGACCUGAGAGGGUGACCGGCCACAUUGGGACUGAGACACGGCCCAAACUCCUACGGGAGGCAGCAGUGGGGAAUAUUGCACAAUGAGGGAAACCCUGAUGCAGCGACGCCGCGUGAGCGAAGAAGUAUUUCGGUAUGUAAAGCUCUAUCAGCAGGGAAGAAAAUGACGGUACCUGACUAAGAAGCACCGGCUAAAUACGUGCCAGCAGCCGCGGUAAUACGUAUGGUGCAAGCGCUAUCCGGAUUUACUGGGUGUAAAGGGAGCGUAGACGGCUGUGUAAGUCUGAAGUGAAAGCCCGGGGCUCAACCCCGGGACUGCUUUGGAAACUAUGCAGCUAGAGUGUCGGAGAGGUAAGUGGAAUUCCCAGUGUAGCGGUGAAAUGCGUAGAUAUUGGGAGGAACACCAGUGGCGAAGGCGGCUUACUGGACGAUGACUGACGUUGAGGCUCGAAAGCGUGGGGAGCAAACAGGAUUAGAUACCCUGGUAGUCCACGCCGUAAACGAUGACUACUAGGUGUCGGGGAGCAAAGCUCCUCGGUGCCGCAGCAAACGCAAUAAGUAGUCCACCUGGGGAGUACGUUCGCAAGAAUGAAACUCAAAGGAAUUGACGGGGACCCGCACAAGCGGUGGAGCAUGUGGUUUAAUUCGAAGCAACGCGAAGAACCUUACCUGCUCUUGACAUCCCGGUGACCGGCAUGUAAUGAUGCCUUUUCUUCGGAACACCGGUGACAGGUGGUGCAUGGUUGUCGUCAGCUCGUGUCGUGAGAUGUUGGGUUAAGUCCCGCAACGAGCGCAACCCUUAUCUUCAGUAGCCAGCAAUUCGGAUGGGCACUCUGGAGAGACUGCCAGGGAUAACCUGGAGGAAGGUGGGGAUGACGUCAAAUCAUCAUGCCCCUUAUGAGCAGGGCUACACACGUGCUACAAUGGCGUAAACAAAGGGAAGCGAGCCUGCGAGGGUAAGCAAAUCUCAAAAAUAACGUCUCAGUUCGGAUUGUAGUCUGCAACUCGACUACAUGAAGCUGGAAUCGCUAGUAAUCGCGAAUCAGCAUGUCGCGGUGAAUACGUUCCCGGGUCUUGUACACACCGCCCGUCACACCAUGGGAGUUGGUAACGCCCGAAGUCAGUGACCCAACCGAAAGGAGGGAGCUGCCGAAGGUGGGACCGAUAACUGGGGUGAAGUCGUAACAAGGUA
rnacentral:rRNA from 1 species